rnacentral:snRNA from 1 species
AAACUACCCUAUUACAGGGGAGACAUCAUGAUCACGAGGGUGGUUUUCCCAGGGCGAGGCUGGUCCAUUGCACUGGGGACCUGCUGACUCCUGCAGUUGCCCCACAUGGGGGAAACUCCACCACAUAAUUUGUGUUGGUGGGGGAUUGUGUCCAUGCUCUCCCCUG